rnacentral:tRNA from 1 species
GGAAAGAUGCCGGAGUGGUCGAUCGGGGCGGUCUCGAAAACCGUUGUGCUCUUGCGGGCACCCAGGGUUCGAAUCCCUGUCUUUCCGC